GACGAACGCUGGCGGCGUGCUUAACACAUGCAAGUCGAACGGAAAGGCCCUGCUUGCGGGGUACUCGAGUGUGGAACGGGUGAGUAACACGCGGGUGUUCUGCCCUCCACUUCGGGAUAAGCCUUUGAGACUGUGGCUAUUACCCCAGAUGAGCCCUCUUUAUUGUGGGGGUUGGAUAGUUUGUUUGGUGUGGGAUGAGCGCGCGCGCUAUCUGCUUGGUGGUGGGGUAGUGGCCUACCAAGGCGGCGGCGGGUAGCUGGCCUGGGAGGGUGGGCGGCCACCAUGGGACUGGGAGAGGGCCCAGAAUCCUACGGGAGGGAGGAGGAGGGAAAAUUGCACAAUGGGCGGAAGCCUGAUGCAGGGAAGCCGCGGGGGGGAUGGCGGCCUUCGGGUUGUAAAAUCCUUUCGCCAGGGAAGAAGCUUUUUGUGACGGUACCUAGAUAAGAAGCACCGGCUAACUACGUG
rnacentral:rRNA from 1 species